AUUGAACGCUGGCGGCAUGCUUUACACAUGCAAGUCGAACGGUAACAGGCCGCAAGGUGCUGACGAGUGGCGAACGGGUGAGUAAUGCAUCGGAACGUGCCCAGUCGUGGGGGAUAACGCAGCGAAAGCUGUGCUAAUACCGCAUACGAUCUAUGGAUGAAAGCGGGGGACCGUAAGGCCUCGCGCGAUUGGAGCGGCCGAUGGCAGAUUAGGUAGUUGGUGGGGUAAAGGCUCACCAAGCCAACGAUCUGUAGCUGGUCUGAGAGGCCGACCAGCCACACUGGGACUGAGACACGGCCCAGACUCCUACGGGAGGCAGCAGUGGGGAAUUUUGGACAAUGGGCGCAAGCCUGAUCCAGCAAUGCCGCGUGCAGGAAGAAGGCCUUCGGGUUGUAAACUGCUUUUGUACGGAACGAAAAGGUUUGGGUUAAUACCCUGGGCCGAUGACGGUACCGUAAGAAUAAGCACCGGCUAACUACGUGCCAGCAGCCGCCGCCG
rnacentral:rRNA from 1 species